CAGCCCGGAACCACUAUCCCACCGGACCACCUCCUCACCGGACAGUCCUGCAGGACCGGACCAGCGCCGAGCGGAGAAUUCAUUUUGUAUAGUUUCUAUAUGGCCUGCUUGACACCACCCCAUGCCUGCCCAGUGUUUUUGCAGUCAUACAAGGAAGUAAGAAUAGCCAAAACAAAAAACAAAAAGGGCCGAAAAUAGAAACGAUGUGGUUUGAAG